GACGACAGAAUGUUAGCGCAAGUCAGUUGGCAAACAGAAGUGUCUCCACGAAUGUGGAGCCUAGGGCAGUGCCCGGCAGGUGGGAGCUGCUCACUACGUCUGGCAUCCCAACUCCACAGUUCAUCAGCUGCUACGGACACAGCUUGUCAGGAGGGACUCUCCCCUCCAGGACGUUCGGGUAAGCAGAUGUGGCAGAAGGGUCCCUGGGCAGGCUGGUGACGGGCUUCAAAGCAGCUUGCGUCAGGGGAACAGGUGUCAGCCUUGAAGGGGGGAGUUCAUAACUAUUAAUCAGGACACAGGACACAGGACACAGGGCACAGGGCACACUCCCAACCGGAGGGGUGGCUAUCCUGUUCAGUUAGGGGGCAUAGGACACAAAUAGCCCUCUGGCUGGAGCAGAGCAGAGGCCGUGAGGACCAGAGAGCGGAAUGCAGGCGGGGGGAGCCCUUGAUUUCUCUCCCCUUUUGGACUAGCUUUCAGGUUUCCCAUCUGUGACUGAACGCGCUCCCCUGCCCAGCAGCUCAGGUACAGCGUGUAGGUCACACUGGGAUGAAUGCAGGCUCCUGGUGGCCCCGGCCACCCGGCCUGCCUCCUCCCCAGAGCCUGGGAGCCUGGGAGCCUGGGAGCCUGGGGUGCACGGUAUUUCGUUUUUAAAGCCUGGCAGCAGUGUGAUCAAUACCUGACCCUAGAAUAUUUCCGAGCCAUUUUCAUUGUUGAGCGGAUUCCACUUGGUGGUUGCAAGCUGUGCUGGUUCUGAGUGGUGUCAGUUCUAAGCAUCCCCCCCCACCGCGUUCUCAGCCCCUUGGAGAAGCCGAGGGGGCACCCAGCCCCCAGAGACAGAGACCUUGAAAUACUCCAGGAAAGACCCUCGGCACACGGGCUGUGCUGCACGCUCACAAAUCCGCUGCAAGCACUGCCCUCUUGUGGUCACGCCGCAGAUGAGACACUUCCUACAGGACGGCUCGUGCACAGUGGAAAUGGGUUCCCCGUCAGGAAGAGUCCGGCUGAUCCUUCUGUCCAUGUCGUGCACAGACACCUACAAGCGAGCGGGACGUGACAUCAGGUUAUUCUCCUCUGUCAUGAAAGAAUAACGUGAGCAUUCGAUUUUCCAAAAAAAAAAAAAAAAAGUCAGAACCGUAGAUCAUGGUGGUGAAUGUCCAGAAUCACAGAAUGUCCAAACUGGAAUGAAUGUCUAAGAGGACCUUGUUCAAAUCCCCCUUUUGUGAAAAUUGCCGGAGACUAAAGUCCAGAGGGGUGAGGGACGUAGAUCACGCAGCAAAUCUUGGACUGUUUCUGGAGCACUCUUUGUGCGUGGCUCUGUCACACCCGGGAGUGGCUCCCGCCCCCAGGCACCGGGUCCCUUCGCAUGAUCCCCCAGCAGAGAGGAGGGCAGGGAGACUCAGGGGCAAGAGACCUGCAGGGAGGAGAUCUGAGUGGCCCUGUGGGCAGGUGGCUCACUUCUCCCCUUGCCCAGCCCUCUUCCUGUGCUGGGACCAUCUCUGGCCCCAGCCUGGCUCGGGGCCCUAGUGCCAGGACCAGACGAGCCGGGCUCGUGUGGCCACACAGUUGAGGCACCAGCUGGGCCUCGAGAAGAGUAGGGCCUGACCCAGAGCCUGGUCUUCCUCUGGAUCUGUUUGCUCUCUGCUUCUGGCUGCUCCUUCCUCGUCACAUGGGGCCACCGGUGGCUGCCUUGUGACCUCAUGGAGUACUUUAGGAGUUUGGGUGGGGUUUUUUAUUUUGGUGUACGAAUGAAAUUGUGAUUUUCUUUUUUUUUUUUUUUUUUUUUUUGCUGUGGUGGUAAAAUAUACAUAACAUAAAAGGUACGGUCUUCAACGUUUUUAAAUGUAGGGUUUAAGGGCUUUAAGUACAUUCACACUGUUGUGCAACCAUUACCACCAUCUGUUUCCAGAGCUUUCUCAUCUUCCCAAACUGAAACUCUGUCCCUAUGAAACACUGAGUCCCCGUCCCCUCCCCCAGCCCCUGACACCCACCCUUCUUCCUGUCUCUGUGCAUCUGAUUAUUGUAUGCCCCGUGUAUAAGUGACGUCACGGAGUAUCUGUCCCUUUGUCACUGACUUAUUUCACUGAGCACGAUGUCCUUUUUAAGCCUGAAUCACACUCCCCUGUGUGGGUGGACCCCAUUCGCUCCCCCAGUCCCCCAUGGAUGGACACUCGAGUUGUUUCCACAGCAGAGCGGUCACGUCCCUCUCUGCGAGUGGACCCGUGUCCCCCCCCGGGAGCCAGGCAUCCAGGAGACCCUAACUGGAGGCCACAACCCCCCUGGGCAACCUGGAUUCCUUCCAUUCCGGCUCAGGCUGCAGCUGGGAAUCUGAUCUGUUUGAAGUUUGGAAAUGGAUUCAGAAGGAUCCAGAACCUGAAAAGAAAUGUCCUUCCAGCUGAUUUGAACACGCAGAAAACUUCUCAGUUCUCUGAAAAGGUGGUUCUCAAAUGAGCAAAUCCCCACCAAAUGCAUCAGACGGGAGUGUCCUUAGAGGGCGCGUGGGUGGUGACGAUCUGGUGGCCGCAGAGUUGGAGAAAGCUCGGUGUGGCCCGUGGGGAGUUCGGGGUUUCAGCCCACUGUCUCUGCACUGUUCUCAUGAAAGCAAACACAGAAUCUGUCUGUAACUGGGCUUCCUCCUACCUCCCGUCCUCCCUGAACGUAAAUGUGCCGGACGGGACGUUGACGAGUCUCUGUGCCACUCUGCUUUCUGUUCGCGUCUGCACCCACCGCGCUCUGGACCUCGCUGGCCCCGAGGGCUCUUUCCGUCCCCAGAGGCCAGGCCACGUCCCCGGGUCCCCAGCCACCGUGAGGCCAUGGCCCUGGCUGUCGCUCUUGCACAUUUCCCUGCCCUUGGCGAAUUUUCUCUUUAAAAUCCUGCAGCGGGAUCACCGUGUUCCAUGCAAACGGGCUGACUGUGCCUUCCCGCCCCUGAAAGCUCAGGGAGCACAGGUAAACGUCGUCUCUGCUUUGGUUUCACUCAACAUGCUUUGUCCAAACAAGGGCGGAGGCCCCUCCUCGCCCCCUGGGAGGACUUGUGCACGGGCCGGGGACAGCGGCCCCCAGGACAGGAGCCCCACCCGCCGGGCAAGCGCGGGUCCCCGAAACCCAGCAGCCUGAGCACUCGAGGGUUACCCAGAGUUCAGUCAAACUCCUCCAAUGGAGGGUAAGUGCGAUGAAAAAAAGUUCAGGAACGCUAAGGAAAGCCUCAACAAUGGACCAUAAAGCUAUUAUUCCCUCUUUAGGAGCUCUAGCAAAUUGCUUUGGCAAAUGAAAGUGCCAUAGAAGGAAUAUUCCAGUGGGACCCAGGGACGUCCUGUGUGCAACUGGUCACUCAGCAGUCUGGAGGGGGAGGCUGCGGCAGCGACGUUAAAGUUCUGAGUUUGUUUUAAGCUGUGGCCUUGGCUGAUCGCGACGGGGCUUUUUACCAGUUUUUCUACCGAAAUGAUAGUCCACUCAAGUCUUUUAAAAACUGACUUUUAAAACUAAAACUGUGUUCUCAUGGCGGUUCCUUCACUUGUCAUAAAAUUAAUGGAGACCAUUUCGUAGUUAAUGGAAUUGUUUCUUUCAAAUUACUUUUUAAUUUCCACUUACUGGAGCUCUUAGGAACUGCAGGUUGCAAAAUUGAAGCUUAGGUGAAUUUCUUCUUUAUUAGCAGAGAGGAAGGCGCCGAGGCCUUGCCAGACAGCUUUGCACUGAGUUACAAAUGAAAAGUAAUUUUAAAUCGUGCAGGAAAAGAUCUCACUGAAAUCACACAGCUUUCUUUUUUGCUGGAACUGGGCGACGUUCGAGUCUUUCAAACCCUCGCGUGCAACCGCGAAAAGAGCAAAACCUCUGAGCAAAAUAUUGGCGAAUCCCAUGUCAGCCUAGGCAUCAUUUUAUUUUCAUUAUCUUUUUCUUUAAAUCUCUGACUCUAUUGAAGGCUCUCUUUACACUUCAUGUGUGGGUUAGGAAUAUGGGUAAUUGUGAGUGUAUCUUCCCAAAAGGGUUUUCUAGGAGAAGAAAGGAGAGGGUUUAAACCCUCUUUUCCCAUUGUUUCAGCUGCAUUUCUGACACAGCACAGUGAUAUUUUUGAUGAAAAUGUCUAUACCAAGCCUCUGGGUUUUCCUGAAUUUGUCUAGCUAGAAGGGAAGGACCAAGAUCUUUUCCGUCUGUAAUUUUUUAAAGGUGUAAGACAUUUUUUAAAAAACCCUGCAUUAAGUUAGCAACGGAAACAGUGGUCUCUGCUCCUAAGCAUUUGUAGAACUGAGAAUCCCUUCUCUUCUCUAAUUCUGGAGCGUGCACAAUUCUCACACAACACCCACGUCCUUACUUACACAUGGACACACAGUCACUGCAGACUGCAACAUUUCUUCCAAGAUACAUGCCCCGCGGGGUUUUAAAAUGAGUGUGUUGGGCCCAUCGACCCAUUAUAUGACAACAGGUUUAUGAGACAUCAGGUCUGGGACCACUGAUUGUUUGCUGAGCCUCGUCCCGGGAAGUGUCUCUCGUAAGGAGAAAACAGCGUGGCAGGAACGAAUGGUAGGAGGCUGGUCUCACGUGCCAUGCCAGGUGACCCUUGCUGCUUAGCAGUGACACACGAAGUAAGCACAUCCGCGGAGGCUCUGCAUUUACCUGGUCCUUGAUGUUUGGAGAAGGACGGCCGUCUGUGUGCAGGCACGAGUCCACCCGCUCUCGCUGCUCGGACUGGGAUGCCUUAACUCCGCGUCGUCUGCCACUGGCUCCCGGAGCGGAAGCACGGCCCCUGACUUUACUGUGCAAGCGCUCCCAGCAGGUUGGAGGCGGUGGGCGCACCUGUGGGGACCCCUCCCCAACACACCCCCCACAUCUGAAAACCUUGCCACGUUGCCUCUAUCUUUGAGGGGAAACGAGUUUGUGUACUUUUUCUGGAUUCAUUACAAGAGUGCUCGGCCCGGGUCGGGCCCCAGCUCUGCUCCUGCCCGUAAAUCUACAGGUGUUGUCAGCCCCGGUCCAGUCCGGCCCGGGGCCGCCAGCCGAGGGCUCCGUGUAAUCAGCUGGGCUCCCCGGCUCGCCUUUAAUCAGCUGCUGACACCUCACUGUUCAAUAUCACGGCGAGCCCGGUCGCACACAAUGAAGGACAGACUCCUGGAAUUAAAAAAAAAAAAAAAAAUCUCUGCUUAGUAACAAACAUAAAAUCCAUCAUUAUUCAAUGCCGAGGAAUUUUGUUUUACUGUAACAAAGCAUCAGUUCUAUUCCUGGUGCUUUAUUUUGAUUGCAGGAGUUCUUUUUUUGACAAAGCCCGGGUCUCUGUACAAAGAAACAUUGUAUCUUUUGUUUAUUUUCAUCCCUCGGAAAUAGGGAGCACAAAAUAGGGAACAAUCUUUUGCGGAGAGCAAUUAGUCCCAUCCCUGUUUCAGAAAACGUUUGAACACACAGGCUUAGAGAAGAGAAUAGUCCCUCAAAAAUUAACAACCAUUAAGUCAUAAAGGCGACUUAGAGGCUAUUUUCCUCCAGCAAAUAACCAUAAUUUCCUCGAAGUCCAGUUCUUUCUGUAAUUAAAGUCACUUAUUCAUUUGAGGGUUUAAAUGUGCUUUAAUAUUUUAAAUGUUAAAUGGCCGCAGUGCCCGCGUAAAACUCAGUAUUUUGAGCCCAGCACGGGGGUCAACUACACAUAUAAUUUUGCCACUGCUCUGUAGUGCGUGUUCCCCUUCUUGGAAUAACGGUUUCAAACGCUAGCAUGCCGCGGGCAGGAAUCAGGAGACGAUCCGUGCUGUACCCGGCGGGGGCUCUAUUUUCCCCGGGCUCCUCCAGAAUCUCCCAAAUGAGUCUCAAAGCCCGAAGGUUUACGGCAAGGCAGAGAGAGGGUCUCGGAGUGUUUAUUGAUACAGAAUGUUCGAGACUGACAGACAGGCCUUUGCGUAUGAUCAAGCAACUUUCUGUGCAAAUCUUAUGGAAUGUGGCAUUCCAGACUUUAAAGGGAAGGAGAGAUCACCAUGGCAACGGCACAUGGGGGCUGGAGAUGGGGAAUCCCCUUGGGAGCUCAAAGGCCAACAGAAUUUUAAGCGUUUGCAACUUAAAAAAGAAGAGGAAAACUCCGUUAACUCUGUCAACGAUGUCUACAGAAAUGGGAUAUGGUUAGAGGUCUCUUCAGAAAGAUCCGAAUUAACCCAGCUCAGGCCUGGACGGUAUGACCUAGAAAGGACAGUUGGUUUUAUUUUUUAAAGAAGGGCAGGUCCUGGUUUUUUUUUUUUUUUUUUUUCUGUUGAAGAGGGAGAUGUUGUCACUGCUAACAUCCGGGAAGGAGCAAAAUUUGGGAAAGAGGCCAGGGACCGGCCAGCAAGUGUCGUCGGCUGGGGGCCGCCCCGCCUGUGGGCUCCUGACCACCCAGGCUCAGUCUCUCCCUGCUGGGAAACACGGCACAGCUGAAGGCCGCCUGCGGGCCCCGGGCAGCCUGGCCCAGCACGCGGCUCCGGCUCGGAGACAGGCAGAGCCUGUCAAAUACAGCCCGCGGCCAGCGUGACGCGUGGAAGCGUCUUACGACGCAGCCCUCCUCCCUUUCCAGGGAACCGUAGUCUCUCCUUCUGGGGAACUCAUCCUCCCCGACAUGAACCAGUGGUGCAGAGGGGCCUUGGGUCAUGGGGGCGGACAUAGCCCCCAGAAGAGCCGGGCUGAAUGUAUCUAUGCAGGUGGUGCUGGUCUACUGGGAGGUGCAGGCACAGGACUCAGUCUCAAGUCAAAAAUUGUGACCAUUGCACCAAGGCUGCCAAGAGGGAGACCAAUUAGUACAAAGUAAAUAUUUCUCAAGUGGGAAAGUGAAUGGAGGCCACCAGAGCCCCCCUCCGAAGGCAGAAAGCACAAGGUUUCAUGCACCCCCUGGGCCAGCGGCAACCAGAGAUGAAAGAGACAAGAGAGUGUCCCACAGCCUUCUGGGCCGGUGCCCACUCGGCAAUUAGACCUCAACAUUUAUUUAUGGAGCUAGCAUUGCACACAACGCUCCCAUUUCCGCCUGCAGAUAAAGAGCAGAGAUAAUGAGCUGGGCAUGGGCGUGGAAGCUUCAGGAACUCUGUGCAGGGACCGCCCCGCAGCAGCAGGCUUCCGGAGCGCCUGGUUCUGAAUGAGAGUCAAAGAGUUCUGCUCACCCCCCGACUCCCCUGACCCCCUUCUCGCCACUGGCCCUUCCUCCCAUGCAUCUUCCCAGGGGAUAUUUAUAGGGUUUCCACCAUUUCUGGGAGGCAAUUUGAAAGGAAAAAUAAGGCAGAAGUGAUGCACUUUCCUACUCCGAGCUUGGGGAUGCUGUCGCUGGCCCUCACUGUCCCACGUCCUCUGCCCCCCAGCCCGACACAUUCUGUCACCAAAUACUUGCCUGGACCUGGCAGUCUCAGAGAUCAUUAAUAAUGAAGACCGAGAAGCCACCUCCCCAGCUGUGCUGGUGAUCUUUCCAGCAGAUCUGUGCUCCCACAGGAGUGUUCUUGGGCCUUCCGGGUGUAGACCUGCACGGAACAGACAGGCUGCUGGCUCACGUCUGGGGGCAACCGGGAGUCUGAAAAUUUAUAGCGGCUUGCUCUCACAAAAUUUCCUCACCUGUCUUUGGACCCGCUGUUAUUAGCAUUAGGGUAAAAAUAAUAAAAAAGAGCUCAUACCUUAGAAACCAGCCGGGUGGUAGCUGAUGAAACCCGUCACUGUAAACUUGGAGUAUUUUCGAGCUAACCGGAGAGAGAGAAUGGCCUCUUUCUCCCCCUCAGGUAGGACCACUGCUUCUUCAGACGUGAAAUUGAAAGACCAGAGAAAGAAAUAGAUUACCUAGUACGUUUUGAGAUGUGAAGUUAACUUGGCCAUUUUAAAGAAUUUAGAAGGAUGUUUUUCCUGUCCGAAUGACCGGAAGCCAGCUUCUUCUAGAAGUUUUUGGAAGUCCCCUUGUACCCAUCGUAUUGUCGUGUUCAAUUAAAACAUGUUCAGAGGAACAUGAAAUGAUUAGUUAACUCAAACAUACUCUAUCGGUGCCUCCGUGAGGUCCUUUAAUGCUGAUGAAAACAUGCCUCGUGGGACAGACUCAGUCCCUGCUGUGUCUCUGACGGCAUGGGAUCGGAUCCAAUGACUUGAGAAAAGAAAUAUGGUGAUUUUCCUACAAACCCCGAGAGCUGGUUUGUGUUAGCUUUGUUGCAUUAAAAAAUAAAAUAAAAGGGGCUUCAAACAUA